UUCAACAUUUGAAACAGACUAGCUGUUACUGGAUGUGAAAAUGGACAUGUAUGCUAGAUAAAUUACUAUCCAGUAAAACAGGGUGAGUCGAGUGAUGUCAAAUCGAGAUAGGAUUAUUUUCGGAGCCACCGGUGCCACUGGGAUAGCCGCAAUGGCAUGGCGGGCAUGGUACCCAUGGUUACUGGAUGAUCUGACGACGAUUAGAUCAACAAAUCGCCAAGCUACUAAGAGUAUUCAAGACGCUGAAAACAAAAGAUUUAUCAUCGAUAUGUUCGAGGAACAAGUGAAGCGCGUACCCAAGAAACCAUUCAUUCUCUUCGAGGACAAAAUCUACACGUAUGAAUUUGUGAAUACUAUGGCUAACAGAGUUGCCAAUCUGGCUUUGACAUGGGGCCUGAAGCAAGGGGAUACCGUGGCGACAGUCAUCUAUAAUCAGCCCGCCUUUGUGUGGACGCUUCUCGGCCUCCUAAAGCUGGGACUGGUGGACGCCUUUAUCAACUACCACACCAAGUCCAGGCCACUGCUCCACUCUAUUCUGGUGUGCGACGCUAAGGUCCUUAUCAUAGGGGACGGUGACGAACUUUUGGAAUCUAUCGAUACCAUCAGAGAUAAACUCCCGGUUGACAUGCCGAUAUACGUAUACGGAAAAGGAGAUUCCAAACUUCCAGGGGGUUAUCUUUCAAUGGACUUGGAACUGCUCAGAGUUCAUCCCGCAGAAAUAUGUAAGACUGUCCGGUCUGAGCUGUCAUUGAAAUCUCUCGUCUGUUUUAUCUACACUUCCGGUACUACAGGUUUACCCAAGCCCGCAAUUAUCAACCAGGCCAAGGCGAUAGGUCUCUCCAAGUUCUACCAACAGAUAUGGUAUAACGAGGCUGACACCGUCUAUGUCGUCACACCUCUCUAUCACAGCGCCGCCUGUGGGCACGGACUCUUCAACACAAUUGACGUCGGUGCAACGCUCGUGCUUCGCCAGAGGUUCUCGGCUCGUUACUACUGGGAGGAUGUUAGGAAGUACAAAGUCACAGUACUGCCGUAUAUCGGCGAGCUCUGUCGGUACCUCCUGAGAGUUCCACAAAAUGACCUGGAUGGUGUCCACUCUGUCCGUGUUGCCGUAGGUAAUGGCCUGAGACCGGACAUAUGGAACGAGUACCGGACACGAUUCAAGAUUCCGUGGAUCGUCGAGUUUUUUGGUGCGACUGAGGGAACGACAACCUUUAUCAACGUCACAGGCCAAGUCGGCGCCAUAGGCAGAUGGUCUCCGUUGAUGCGAGUAGCGGCAAAAGGGAGAUUUGGUGUCACGAGUCAUGUAAUCAAGUAUGAUGUUGUCAAUAAUAUACCGGUUCGAAACGACAACGGCAGAUGUAUCCCAAUCAAAAAAGGAGAGGAAGGCGUUCCUAUCUCCGGCAUCCCACCAUCGUAUUCCGGCUUCUACAAGGGGGACAUAGAGGCCAGUCAGAAAAAGAUCCUCAUCGACGUAUUUGAAGAAGGGGACCGCUACUUCAACUUUGGAGACUUAGUGUACAUGGACGCUCACUAUAACCUGUACUUUAGAGACAGAGUGGGCGAUACUUUUAGAUGGAAAGGGGAAAAUGUUUCAACACGGGAAGUGUGUGACGUCAUCAGUACACUUCCGUUUACACAGGACGUGAAUGUAUACGGAGUGCGUGUCCCCGGUAAGUGUGUGACGUCAUCGGUACACUUUCGUUUACACAGGACGUGAAUGUAUACGGAGUGCGCGUCCUCGGUAGGUGUGUGACGUCAUCGGUACAAUUCCGUUUUCACAGGACGUGAAUGUAUACGGAGUGCGCGUCCCCGGUAAGUGUGUGACGUCAUCAGUACACUUCCAUUUACACAGGACGUGAAUGUGUACGGAGUGUGCGUCCUCGGUAAGUGUGUGACGUCAUCAGUACACUUCCAUCUACACAGGACGUGAAUGUGUUCUGAGUGCGCGUCCCCGGUAAGUGGGUGACGUCAUCAGUACACUUCCAUGUACGCAGGACGUGAAUGUGUAUGGAGUGCUCGUCCCCGGUAAGUGUGUGACGUCAUCAGUAAACGUCCCCGAUUCAGACGGACGCGCUGGAAUGGCUGCUAUUUCUUUGAAGGGCGAAAAAGACGUACAACCAGAAAUGCUCC
rnacentral:misc_RNA from 1 species